GACCGCUUCGUGGUAAUAGCGUCCGUCUUUGAAGCGGAAGAUCGCGGGUUUAAACCCCGGCCGAGUCA